AUGGUUAUUUCUUUAUUUUAUUUUUUCUACAGAAACAGCACAUUCAAGUGAGGACAGUUUGUAGCAAAACCCAUAUACUUAGAACACUCUUUAAAACAUGUUUCUUUACUGCAGUUAUGAAAGCUGUUGAUCUCUGUCCCUUGGAUACUAAAGGGGAUGUGAAUAGUCAAAACAUACUAUAAGAGCUACUGGAAACUAUCCCACAAGCACCUGGACUAUAAUGUGAAUUGUGCAUGCUCAGGGCAACAGAUGGACCUCUGGAUCAGAACCUAAAGCUUGUGACUACAUGGAAAGCAGCAGCAGGAAUCUGGCUUCAAAACAAGUUAAGCUUUAUCGACAGUAUGGAGCAUUCUGGAGGGUUUAAAUGAGGGUUUGCUGGAAUUUCACAGUGGGAUGAUGCCAUUCACAUGAGCUGGACGUCCUCAUCAGGGACAGGACAACAGGUCACAGAGAGCCCAAAGAGUCAGAACUACUCAAACACCAGAUGUGUACCCGGAAAUUAUAGGUACAAUGAGUGAGGACACCUGAGCUGGAGUUACAGGACCUCAGACAUAUUACUGGCUUGAAGAGGAUCAUACUUGUUAUGGAAUAAGUUGCAGGAGAGGCCAAGGGGGAAAAGGCCCUGAUAUUUUCUGGCCUGAAAACAUGACCAUUACAGUAUGUGUCUGGAUUAAUAACAGUUUUAGUCACAAGAAGUUUCUGGAAGCCUUUCUCUUACUUUUUAAUUAGAAAAAUUAGCAAUUAUAACAUAAUUCAGUUCAAAUAUCAACAAAGAACAUUUAUAAGCAGACUAAUUACACUUUUUGAACACAUAGGUUUGACAUUUGGUCUUUCGUUUUUGAACGUAACCCUUGUGUUUGAAAAACCCAGAUUACAUCAAAACCUUUAAUCUGAUUACAUGCAGCAGGCAAAUUUGAAAGAUUCAGAACAGACAUGUUCUGGUCAAAUUUUAGCUUAAAUUGAUGAAGUGAUGCUUUCUAAAUGCCUUUCAGGAGAACAUAAACUGUCAUGUAACCAUUAGCAGAUUAUCCAAGUCCUGAUGCACAUAAAUGCAUUACUUUCUUUACUAACUAGAUACUGACUGUGACAAAGAUCAACAAGGUUUUCAUUCAGUAACUUGUUAUAUGUUGUUAGAAAUGAAGAUAUAACAAUAUCGCUGUCCAAAUGUCAACUUUUUUCGCACUAGUUACCGUACACUGUCAUUGUGUGUGGACAGAAAGUCUGCAAAACAUCUGUUGUGUGACACAGGGGGAGGAAAAUUAGGUUUGGAACAAAAUGAGGGAUGAAUUUUCUUUUUUUGGGGGGGUGAACUAUUCCAUUAAAAUAAUGUCCUACAAUAACUAAAACCACAACAGGAUUUCCAGAGUUCAUGUCUCCAUGUUGAUUUAAUGCUUGUAAUUUAUUAAACCUGCUGGGAUUGGUUUUGUGCUUGUUAAAUAAGUAGCAAAACAAGCACAAAAUAAGGUUUUAACAUCUGUUGCUUAAUCUUUUUUUUUCCUCAGAAAAGUAGAAAUUAUGUUUUAGACAAACACCUCCCUAUAAUCCUAGCUCUGCCUUUUUAAUAUAUUGUAUAUAUUUUACAAGUUUGUUUCACCUCCAGGCUGUGCUGUAAGAGGAGUUUAAUGAGCAUAUCGGCACUCACAGGAAUGACACCUGAAAGGGCAAAAGUGUUGAUUUGCCGGUUGCUGCUUCCCUCCGAAGUAGUUAAAUGCUCCAUUGCCCUGGUGAAACAAUUUGCUGAAGUACAAGAGUGCUGGCCUCCUCUGAUGGUUUGUAUGUAACCUUAAUUACCUGCAGUUGACUGCCCUCAGUGCUCAGGAAGUCUUAGCUCACCACUUCUGAGGUUCAUUGGAGGCCACUUGCUGUUCUACUGUGUUUCUCAGACCUCAUCCUAGACCUGUGGCUGUCUCUAGAUGGUGCUUUGUGCAUAACUGAGCAAUGGAGUUGGAUGACCUCACGGAGGGAGCUGAGAGACCAUACAUACUUUAAUGAGUGCUGUUUCACAGGCGUGUGGGGCACUUGAUCCUGCUUCCAGAUCUGAGAACACCUCGAGAUCCCUAGAGCUGUGAAAGCCCAACGUUUGACCAAAACUGCUCUCCGCUAGGAAGGCUGAUAAAUUGUGUCUGGAGUCUAACUUGAUUGUUAAAAAAUAUUGCACUGAAUCAUGAAAGUAAUAUUGUUCACUUUCUGUUGUAACAGAUUUAUUGCAUGCAUUUUCAAUUGAUUUAAAACAGUGUGGCAUCAAUCAUUAUCAAUGUACUCUAUAUAUUAAAUAAAG